AACGAACGCUGGCGGCAGGCUUAACACAUGCAAGUCGAGCGCAUCCUUCGGGGUGAGCGGCAGACGGGUGAGUAACGCGUGGGAACGUGCCCUCUUCUACGGAAUAGCUUCGGGAAACUGAGAGUAAUGCCGUAUACGCCCGCAAGGGGAAAGAUUUAUCGGAGGAGGAUCGGCCCGCGUUGGAUUAGGUAGUUGGUGGGGUAACGGCCUACCAAGCCGACGAUCCAUAGCUGGUUUGAGAGGAUGGUCAGCCACACUGGGACUGGGACACGGCCCAGACUCCUACGGGAGGCAGCAGUGGGGAAUCUUGGACAAUGGGGGCAGCCCUGAUCCAGCCAUGCCGCGUGAUCGAUGAAGGCCUUAGAGUUGUAAAGAUCUUUCAGCUGGGAAGAUAAUGACGGUACCAGCAGAAGAAGCCCCGGCUAACUCCGUG
rnacentral:rRNA from 1 species